UAGGGAAUCUUCCGCAAUGGGCGAAAGCCUGACGGAGCAACGCCGCGUGAGUGAUGAAGGUCUUCGGAUCGUAAAACUCUGUUAUUAGGGAAGAACAAAUGUGUAAGUAACUAUGCACGUCUUGACGGUACCUAAUCAGAAAGCCACGGCUAACUACGUGCCAGCAGCCGCGGUAAUACGUAGGUGGCAAGCGUUAUCCGGAAUUAUUGGGCGUAAAGCGCGCGUAGGCGGUUUUUUAAGUCUGAUGUGAAAGCCCACGGCUCAACCGUAGAGGGUCAUUGGAAACUGGAAAACUUGAGUGCAGAAGAGGAAAGUGGAAUUCCAUGUGUAGCGGUGAAAUGCGCAGAGAUAUGGGGGAACACCAGUGGCGAAGGCGACUUUCUGGUCUGUAACUGACGCUGAUGAGCGAAAGCGUGGGGAUCAAACAGG
rnacentral:rRNA from 1 species